UACGAAGGGGGCUAGCGUUGUUCGGAUUUACUGGGCGUAAAGCGCACGUAGGCGGAUCUUUAAGUCAGAGGUGAAAUCCCAAGGCUCAACCUUGGAACUGCCUUUGAUACUGGGGAUCUUGAGUCCGGGAGAGGUGAGUGGAACUGCGAGUGUAGAGGUGAAAUUCGUAGAUAUUCGCAAGAACACCAGUGGCGAAGGCGGCUCACUGGCCCGGUACUGACGCUGAGGUGCGAAAGCGUGGGGGAGCAAACAGG
rnacentral:rRNA from 1 species